rnacentral:rRNA from 1 species
UGAACGCUGGCGGCGUGCCUAAUACAUGCAAGUCGAGCGAACGGACGAGAAGCUUGCUUCUCUGAUGUUAGCGGCGGACGGGUGAGUAACACGUGGAUAACCUACCUAUAAGACUGGGAUAACUUCGGGAAACCGGAGCUAAUACCGGAUAAUAUUUUGAACCGCAUGGUUCAAAAGUGAAAGACGGUCUUGCUGUCACUUAUAGAUGGAUCCGCGCUGCAUUAGCUAGUUGGUAAGGUAACGGCUUACCAAGGCAACGAUGCAUAGCCGACCUGAGAGGGUGAUCGGCCACACUGGAACUGAGACACGGUCCAGACUCCUACGGGAGGCAGCAGUAGGGAAUCUUCCGCAAUGGGCGAAAGCCUGACGGAGCAACGCCGCGUGAGUGAUGAAGGUCUUCGGAUCGUAAAACUCUGUUAUUAGGGAAGAACAUAUGUGUAAGUAUCUGUGCACAUCUUGACGGUACCUAAUCAGAAAGCCACGGCUAACUACGUG